GAUGAACGCUAGCGGCAGGCCUAAUACAUGCAAGUCGAACGGUGUCUUCGGACAUAGUGGCGCACGGGUGCGUAACACGUAUGCAACCUACCUUACAUUGGGGGAUAGCCUUUCGAAAGGGAGAUUAAUACCGCAUAAGACAGUAGCUGGGCAUCCAGCAGCUGUUAAAGAUUUAUCGAUGUAAGCUGGGCAUGCGUCCAAUUAGCUAGUUGGUGAGGUAACGGCUCACCAAGGCAAUGAUUGGUAGGGGAACUGAGAGGUCAAUCCCCCACACUGGCACUGAGAUACGGGCCAGACUCCUAUGGGAGGCAGCAGUAGGGAAUAUUGGGCAAUGGAUGCAAGUCUGACCCAGCCAUGCCGCGUGCAGGAUGAAGGCGUUAUGCGUUGUAAACUGCUUUUAUACAGGAAGAAACGACUCUUGCGAGAGGCAUUGACGGUACUGUAUGAAUAAGCACCGGCUAACUCCGUGCCAGCCGCCGCGGUAA
rnacentral:rRNA from 1 species